rnacentral:lncRNA from 1 species
GAAGAUAAAUUCCAACAAAUCCAAAUACAAACUAAAUUGGUGUCUGAAUGAAUGGACCACCAACCAAUUGGUGAUGAUAUUCCUAUGGAUGCGUAAAGAAUAAAUAAAGAAGUACCACGAAGCCCAAUAUGGAAACUUUGCACCCACAUUAGUUAUUGAAUCUUCAUCAACAAAAUGACUGCAGAGGUGACCAUGGUUAACUAAAGAAAGAUUCAUACAGGAAAUAAAAGAAAGGAGUUCCAAAUUCAAAGACAAAAAUAAGUGAUCGAUUCUCAUUCCUCGAGUUACAACCUGCUAUCUGACAGACCUCCAGCACUUUCUAGAAAAUCAGGUGCGACAGAAAGCUCGAACAGUGUUGCAGCAGUAACUCUCAGCCUUGAAAAUUGUUCGUGCUCCCAUGCAACCGAGAAUUUUAAAUAGUUUGAACAUAUAAAACCUAGAAAGUUGAAGAACAAUGAAACAAAUGAAAGAAAUAUAUUUAUUUUCAUCUUUUAAAGAUGAAAGACGAGCCUCUUGUGUCAUAUUGCUUACUGAAACAAAACAGCUUAACUCAUAAGAAAGCACAUAACAACUAAUGUUGACCCACCUCAUAAAACCCACAGUUCACAUGUGCUAUGUUAACACAGAGAAAUGCUUUUACUCUUUAUCUUCCUCGAUUCCAUGUCAAUAGUUAUACCAAAAAGACACUGUUGGUUGGUUUUUUGUUUAGGUGUUUGGCCAACCAAUGGCACUUGAAUGUACAUCUUUGCAGGAAAAAUAAGUGGGGUAAAUGAACUCAAUCUAUUUUAUCCCGAAUAGAACUUUUGUAAUGUAUUAAUGCUUCAUUAGAUAUGGAAACUUUACACCCACAUUGGUUGGAUAUAUUUUGACUUAAACCUUCAUUUAUUAAAAAUAACUAAUGUAGAGCUAAAUCAUGAUAUUAUACUCAUUAUUCAUUAAUCUACCAUGUGCUGUUGACUUUUAUUUUAAUCUCAACCACAUAGCAAAAGCAUGGAACAUAUAAGAUUGAUAUAAGCUGAUGAACUCACAAUAGAAGCAGCUUAAUAAAGCUUUACCACUGAGAGCAUGCAGAGCAAUGACUGUACGUGGUUCCUGGAUAUAGAAUUAAGUUAUUAUUAAGAAAUAUCCCAAACUUAAACCCAUAUUCAUUUUUAAUUUGCAAGAUAUAUUAUGCAGGUCAAGUCAAAGAAAAAUGAUUACAUGCCACUACCAAAAAAAUCAUGUAAAAGUGUUGGCUAAGGAGGAAAAAUCCGUACUUACAACAUCAUAAACUAUGACUGCAACAAAGGAGUCUCUUAUACUAUUAUAUUGGGAUGAGACUCCUAAAUCUCUCUUGUCCUGCAAUAUUCCUGGACAUGUUAGAAAAUAAAGGUUAUCUAUUUAGAAAACUGACAACAAAGUUGACAGAACAAAACUCAACAAUUGAAAAACAAUAGAUAAUAGUCCACAUCUGCAGCAGCAACACACUCCUGCAAUGACCAUGCUAGGUGUAUACAAUUCUUCGCAAGGUGCCAGUGUAUUGCUGCAAGCAAGAAUACAUAAAGCAAGCUCUCCUCUUAAUAAAAUGACUCACCAUAGAAACUUGAAUAAUGAACUACAACACCAUUCACAUAUUCUUAAAGAUGAAUUAUACCAACAUAAAAAUCCGCAACUUUACUGAGAAGCCAACAAAAAAAGUUAUAAUAUUACAUCUCAAAUAAUCUAAUACUAUGUCACUCAUGGAAAAUAUUAGAGUUAUAUCCACGAACUAAACAAUGAUACUAAUAUUCUAGAGAAAUGACGACUGACCAAGUAAUAUUAUACUGAUCAGUAAAUACCCAAGAGGCAAAUAAGUGCAAGGUAGGAUAUAACAAUGUAAAGAAGCAGCUUAUGCUUUCAGUUAUGUCAUGGGGCCAGAAGAUCAAACUUACUUGGUCGGAAAGAAACAUGAAACUGAAUGAACCAAACAACAAAAAUUAGAACCUCAAAGUAUGAAGAACAAACACAACCUAUUCUUUUCACCAUCAAUAGCUCAGCAAUGAGAAUCUCACCGUAAGGGAUCCGGUUGCGGCAAAAGAAAAGAAAGGUACAUUGCGUUGGCUGUAAAACACAAUGCGGUGUAAAUCAUUUUAACUAAGGAAUUUAUAGCUACAAAUCUAGGUUAUAAGUUUCCAUUUUAAAACUUCAUUCCAAAAUUUGUUCUUUCUAAAGUUCACCACAAUCAUUCUAUAUUCACAAUAGUCAAACGUGUUAAAUCAGCAAACUGGUUUAAUACUUACCAUUUAUGUGUAAGAAGAAUCACGGUGAAAAGAAAUCAUUCUAUAUUUACAAUUGUAGUGUUUCCUAAUUGAAUACUUACCAUGGCAGAGGAGGCGGCGAUAAACCAGCAUUGGAAGAGAUCGGCGGCGCCGAUAAGGAGAGGUGGCAGUCCUGGAAUGUUUUGUGAAUCCCUCGGAGGCUGGUGUCAUUGCCGGUUGUUGGCGGCGGCAAUGUUGAGAGAAGGAGUCGGUGGUGGAGAAUCCACGAGCGUCGCUGUCAGUUGUCUCCCACGGUGAGACUUCGGGUGACGAAUGCGCCCGGCGAUGAAGGCACGAUCGUUGGCAGCGGCAGUGGAGACACCGGCGAUGAAGGCACAAUCGUAGCAAGAUUUGAUUUUUAGUUUUUGAGAUAUGAAUUUUAGUUUUUCAGAGAGACCGAUGGAUGAGUGGAGAGACCGAUGAAUGAGUGAGAAAAGAAUAUAGUUUUUGAAAUAAAAAUAAAAAGAUCAAUAAAAGCCACGUAGGAUAUACAUUUUAAAGCUAGAAGCUCUAGAAUUGCACGGAUUUCAAAUACUGAAUUCUGACGAUGCCA